rnacentral:rRNA from 1 species
UGGACGCUAAGACAGGUGGUGCAUGGCUGUCGUCAGCUCGUGUCGUGAGAUGUUGGGUUAACGUCCCGCAACGAGCGCAACCCUUGUUAUUAGUUGCCAGCAUUAAGUUGGGCACUCUAAUGAGACUGCCGGUGACAAACCGGAGGAAGGUGGGGAUGACGUCAAGUCAUCAUGCCCCUUAUGACCUGGGCUACACACGUGCUACAAUGGGCAGUACAACGAGAAGCAAGCCUGCGAAGGCAAGCGAAUCUCUGAAAGCUGUUCUCAGUUCGGACUGCAGUCUGCAACUCGACUGCACGAAGCUGGAAUCGCUAGUAAUCGCGGAUCAGCACGCCGCGGUGAAUACGUUCCCGGGUCUUGUACACACCG